rnacentral:rRNA from 1 species
AAGUCGUAACAAGGUUUCCGUAGGUGAACCUGCGGAAGGAUCAUUAAUGAAUUAAAGUCGGUCUUCUGUGCUGGUGGUGACACAUGUGCACGUUGAUCGCAAAUCCACACACCUGUGCACCUUUGACUUUAGGAUCCGCUUGUUGGCUUGUCUGACUUGCAGCUGAUGUUGGUUUUGUGCUCAUCUGGAUCUUAGAGUAAUUUUACACACUCUGAAUGUAAUGGAAUGUUCCUGUGCAUAAUGCGCAAAAUACAACUUUCAACAACGGAUCUCUUGGCUCUCGCAUCGAUGAAGAACGCAGCGAAAUGUGAUAAGUAAUGUGAAUUGCAGAAUUCAGUGAAUCAUCGAAUCUUUGAACGCACCUUGCACCCUUUGGUAUUCCAAAGGGUACACCCGUUUGAGUGUCAUUGUAAUCUCACUUCAUCAGCUUUUGUUGGAGGUGGACUUGGACUCUGUUGUGUCAUUACAACUGGUCUGAAAUGUGUGAGUGCACCCUGCUGUUGCAGCGUCCUCAGUGUGAUAAGCAUCUUCACUGAAUCAAGUUCCUUUGGGACACGUGUGUAAUGNGGGCUCUGUGCUGGCAAACUGUCUUUGGACAAUCUUGACAAUUUGACCUCAGAUCGAGUGGGACUACCCGCUGAACUUAAGCAUAUCAAUAAGCGGAGGAAAAGAAACUAACAAGGAUUCCCCUAGUAACGGCGAGUGAAGAGGGAAAAGCUCAAAUUUUGANUCUGGUGCCUUUGGCAUCCGAGUUGUAAUCUAGAGAAGUGUUUUCUGCCUUGGACCACACAUAAAUUCCCUGGAAUGGGGUGUCAUAGAGGGUGAGAAUCCCGUUUGUGGUGUGGACUACCUUGGCUCUGUGAUACACUCUCAACGAGUCGAGUUGUUUGGGAAUGCAGCUCAAAAUGGGUGGUAAAUUCCAUCUAAAGCUAAAUAUUGGCGAGAGACCGAUAGCGAACAAGUACCGUGAGGGAAAGAUGAAAAGCACUUUGGAAAGAGAGUGAAACAGUACGUGAAAUUGUUGAAAGGGAAGCGUUUGAAGUCAGUCACAUUGGUCAGAAUUCAGCCUGGCUUAUGCCUGGUGUACUUUCUGGCAAAUGGGUCAGCGUCAAUUUUGACCGAGGGAGAAAGACUUGAGGAAGGUGGCUGUCUUUGGGCAGUGUUAUAGCCUCUUGUUGUAAUGCUCGGUUGGGAUUGAGGAUCGCAGCACGCCUUAUGGCCGGGGUUCGCGCCCUCGGUACGUGCUUAGGAUGCUGGCAUAAUGGCUUUAAGCGACC